GAACUAUUAGCUCAGUUGGUUUAGAGCGCUGCCUUGACAGGGCAGAGGUCGCCGGUUCGAACCCGGCAUAGUUCAC
rnacentral:tRNA from 1 species